UCCCCAAGAAGUCCCCCGCCGCCGCCGAGAAGGAGGCCAAGUCGCCCAAGAAGAAGACGUCCACCAAGUCCCCCAAGAAGAAGACCGCCGCCACCAAGGAGUAACCGCCCCCAUAGCCUAGCCAGUGUUGCUUAGAUCCAUUUCUCAUGGACUAAGAUGAGACCCUGUAUGUAAUGCCUGCUAGUCUGUGAUUUCGUCGAGCAUGGGUGACAUUGUACCUGCUAGUCAUGGACUAAGAUGAGAUCCAAUCAUUUCAGUCUGUUGUUCUAUCUAUGGCUGCAGUCAUUCCAAUCUCUUGUUCUACCUAUGGCUGCAAUUGAUCUUGCGAAUGCUUGCUCCCUGCCUAUACGUCUGAAGGACGCUUUACUUGUAAAUUCUCUCUUGUGUCAUCUGAAAAUUUCCGUUGAUCUGUAAUUUUCAGUGAUUUAUCUUUACUUCCUUGUGAAGUUCACUUCAAGCUUAUUCCUAUCAAGCUGC
rnacentral:lncRNA from 1 species